AAACUUUCUCGUCUCGAGUCAUGCUGUCUGCGGAUACCUAGGAAUGCAAUUUGGUCCCUUUGCGCCACCUGCGGGCCUGCCCUCACCUCGAGUCGCUGACCCUGAACAACCCUCAUUGUUGCGCACCGGAAGUGCUUGACCCUCUUGGGGUCACUUUCCCGGAUGUGGGCCCUCUCUUCCUCACCGUCGGGGCGGUCCAGCGGUACCUCAGGGCGGGGUGCAGGAGCUAGACUGGGACCGAAUGGCCCACAGCUUUUUCCCUAAGCACUAUUGGAAAGGCUUUGGGCAGCGUCCACAUCCUCAACCCGCGUUAGGCAGUGUGACCCUAGGCGGAUUGUAUAACCUCUCUGAGCUUCCCAGGUGACUUAUCUGCAAAGUGCGAUAGUAAAAUCCCAGUUGGCGCCAUAAAGCUCAUGCCACUUCAUGCCGAUUAGUGGGCCCUCAGCAGACCAGCCUCUGUUGCAUCUUGUGGCCCCACACGCUCUGGAUAGACGCGAGAAGCAGCUUUAAAUGGCGGCCAAGUCGGCUGACAUUCCCACUCAGAUUCAGAGGACUCUGACAAUUCUCUCUCUCUAAACAAUGUUUUUCCCGUCCAAUCCUAACAACCAAGCCAGGAGGAAUUGCAUGCUUUAUUGGUUGAAGGUUCUCCAAGUCCCCUUGUUUAAGGACAGAUUUACCCUCAAUUGAAGCAAUAGGGGGAGAAUCUGAAAAAUCCAAGUGUCUCUACCUUCAGCAUGAGAGGAGUGAGAGCUCCCCAAAUGGCCUUUACCUUGGACUUUUUCCUUCUCUCCCGUUUGGGAUGCCAGUAACCUGGGUUCUGGCCCACAACACUCUUCUGUAAGCAAGAACCCUGGAUGUGAUGACUAAGGAAGAGAUUUUGUUUUUUAUUCUCAUAUAUAGACUUCUCAGUUCGAUCCUGCAUUCACGGUAAUGCCUAAGCCUAGCACAACUACAGUGCUCUAUGAAUUCUUUACUGCCGUUAGAAUUUAGUGAAGGGAAGGUGAAGUUUAUCUCCAUGAAAUACAGAAGGAUAAGCUCUUCAUUCUUUAACCCUUCCACUGCCUUCUGAAUCUGUGGUAGAGAGUGGUCUUCUCAUGAGAGCAUCUUGCAAGAAAUUUAUUAGGAGGGAAGAAUCCCAGGCCUCAUGUCCAGUCUCCUGAAGCAGAGCCUGCAUUUUAACAGAAUCCCUAGGAAUUUCUAUGUAUGUUAAAGUGUGCGAAGCCCUGGUCUAACUCCUAGGGUGAUCUGGUUUAAAGUGAUGUGGUGGCAUCAAAAAUUAAAGGAGAGACAAUAUCCAUAGAGCCAGAAUCUGGGGUGGUGUUGGCAGAGCAACUGUUUCCUGCAUUUGGGCACUGUCAUCAGGUCAAUUCAGAAGACAGAUGGAAAAUUUGUCACUGGGGCAGCCAGGAGGAACACCACGACUUUGGGAUUUUUUGCUUAAAGGAAAGGUGAGACCAGCUGUUAGUACCACACCUGCCGCAUCUUCACAGAAUUUCUGAGACGGAAGUGAAAUAAUAGUCCAGACUAUACAGAUGCAUUCCCUAUUUGGAAAACUACAAAACAAACAGGAGCAGCUGUUCAGCAACAUGAGCCUCCCUGAAGCAGGACGGGUGGGCUGCCAAGGCACAGUGAACAUGCCUCGAAUACUCUGGGUGAGUGAAGCCCAACUGUAGUCACUGGAAGAAACAGACGGUUUUAACCUCCAUCGUGGUGAGAGGCACCGGUGGAUGCCAGAACUCCAAGGACAUCUGAUGGUAUUCUGGCACCAAGAGGGUUCUCCUCCCCCGCUCUUGGGAAAGUUUCGCAUUCUGGGCGCUUCCUCUCCUCACCCAACAAGGGUGUUUUGUGUCUUGAUCCCAGUGGAAGAGCCUGGCACACAAACAGCCAGGCCCAUUCAUUCCUGGAGCAGUUUUACAUAUGCAAGACUGAAGCCAAGAUUAACGUCUUCAUCCCAGACGUGCUCAUUCAGAUCCUUUCGGGUCCUGGAGACGAAGGUGCUGGCUGACGAUUUAUGAAAAGUGACAUCUUAGAGUGGACACCACCUCUAACCGGAGCCACUUUUGGGGCGGAACCGUGCUUAGAAGAGUGAAAGUUCUGGAAGCUGGAAGCCUGAGGUCAAGGCGCCAGUGGAUUCAGUGUCUGCUGAAGGCCUGCUUCCUGGUCCAUAGACAGCCGUCGUCCUGCCGUGUAUCCAUGCAGUGGAAGGUCUUUAUUGCUUAUCUUUCUGAGAUACUACCAUUUGGAAGAAAGACUAAAUUCCUCUUCCAAACAUCUCAACGCUGAAAUUUAUUUUAUAUUUACUGAAAAAACAAAAUCAUGGGAAUCUCAUCCUUGGAGAAGGAUGAUCUGAUCACCGAGAGGAGAGGAUUUUUCCUCUACGGAUACACGUGGAGAAGGCAUUUUAGUUGUUGAAAAGCAUGAAAUAGUUCCAUAUUGAGAGUUUCUCCCUUUUCCCCAUCCGUGGAGUUUUCUGGCAGCUGGCAGUCCAUUGAACAGCUCUUAAAAAGAAAGUAAAUAUUUUGCUUUUCGAAUCCACAAGACAGAAGAGGAAGGCGCCCUGGAAGAUACACCACAGGGGGCUGCCAUCCAGGUGGCCUGCCUGUUGGUAAGUUGACUCGGAUGAAGAAGGAGGCACUUGGAGAAGACUUAUGAGCCGCUGGCUCCUUCCCGGUGUGUGGGAGACACUACUGCAAGGGAACAAAAACGCCCACGAAGCACUGACCUGGGCUACCGUCUGCCAAUGUGUGGCGUCGUCUUCGCUCGGAUGGAUCCCGUAAUUCCACCGUCUCUGCACCACGUAGAUCACAGGCUCGAUGGAAAUGUUGAACUUCGAGGACCACUUAAUCUCCAGCUGUCCGGACCGCAGCUCCGUAAAUCGUAACUCCUUCCUGGGCUUCAGGGGGACACCUGAAACAGAACCACGCCAGUGAAAACCACCCACAAGGGGCUCAAAACGGAGGUGACAGUUGAGGGAGGAAAACCUACAGGAGAGGCAGGCAGAUCCCGUCUAAUGACAACUGAUCCUGUUUCCUUUCAGAAAAGCGGCUUCUCCGUCUGAAGGCGUCACCUUUGAGAUCUUCUGACACUGAGUUCCGUUUCACUUUCCCAUUUUUUUAGAGGGUCUGAAUUGAGUCCUGAUUCUGGACUAGUUUUUGUCUCCCCAGUAAGCUUGACAACUCCUUCACGUGCAGUCUUCUGAAUCAGUCAUGUUACCGAGCCGCCCCAUGUGAGGCUGACGGGAACUCCCACGAGCAAGUGUCACGGAGAGUUGCCAGUCCUUUUUAACACUUACAGGCUCCGUCCCUACCCAUGGACCCCAGGGUCAUUGUAACACCGUUCCUGAGUUUGCCAUCCUUCCCAUCUCGGGGAGUUUUCCUUUUAAGGCAAACAUUAUAAAGCCCAGCCCUCUCACAGGGUCAAGUCUCACGAGAACGAUUUCCAAAGCCUGGGUCUUGUGGGUUCCCCAGUGACUGCCAGGGCCCUCCCGACAGACUUACCAUUUAAAAUUGGAAAAUGAUGAAUUUAUAAUGUUUGGUUUUGGCACGCCUGAGUGCCUGGCUUCAAAAGUCCCUCACAGGUGUCUCAUCCGAAAGUAGUUAAUCAUUUUGAUUCCUUUUUCCCCUGACAGUGCGUGCAAGUUGCCUGGUGACUGCAAGAUUUAAGAACCAUGGUUCAAAAUCACAGCCAUUACGGAAAGGACACUUUGAAACAAAUGUCUAAUACUAACAGGACAUAUAAAACUAACCGAAUUCGGUAGGGCCUGUGGCAUCAUGAUGUUCAGUAUCAUCAGAACCAGGAGCCCCAGUGGCUGAUGAAAUCAUUUUCUGCUGAGAAUGAGCGUUUGCCUAAACCACUGACAACUCAUUUGCAGUGGCUGCUUCAGAAGGCUGCGUUUCUUUCUCCAGUUCUUAAGUUUAAACCAAGGAAACGGGGACGCGUGCAAAUACAGACUCUACCUAAGAGCUGACGCACAUUAAGUGAUGCAGCUGAAUGUCAACUCGUUUCAUUUUGAACUUCGUUCAGGCUCAGUCUUGUGAAAUCUUAAAGUCAUUAAACACUGAGGGGUUGGAUAAUUUAACAAUGGCAUCUGUACAUCUGCCCAAAAGCUCACUGACUUUUAAAACCACUUCUCCAGAGAACUACAUCCCCCCGACCAGUAGCAGCCUCCACUUUGAUUUGCCGACGGGCGAUGUCUGUAUAUACGUCGCCUUUCCUUCACCAUAAACUUGCCUCCCCUGGUCCUUCCUGUGCCUUCAUGAAGCGGGUGAGGGGUUAUGUAUCUACAUUUGGAACACCAGGGAAUGGAGUCUGAGGAAGAUCAAAUAAAUUGCUUGGAGCUA